ACGUUCCUCCCGUCGGUCUGUCUCCUGGCCACAAUUAGUUUUCUACACUACCACAGGAACAUCUUUCACUCUUGUAUAGUCUACGUACUAUAUCAAAAAAAACUAUCUUGUUCAGAUUUACAGGAGGAAUUGAUAAAAAGAGACAUCAAGGGGAAUACAUCAGGACAAACUAGAUUAUUUGCAUUUCUUGAAGGAAAUAUGUGUGAUUGCUAGAUAUGCUGCUGCUGCAGAAGAAGAAUUAUUUGAAAUAAAGAGCUAAGAUAACUAAAGUCUUACAAUAAGUCUGAAAUUAAGAGUGAAGCAAACUACACUACAUCUCCAGCCCACUGUACCACUUACACAAACAUACAAGUAAUAAGUGUUUAAAUGCAAUUUAUUUUCUGUUUCUGCAGCUUGAACCUGUGUUCCAAAGGACAUUCCCUUCCUCCUUUAAGUCCUUGGAUGUGGUGUCAUUCAGAAAUGGCUCAAUCAUCAGCGAAAUGAACGUUCUCUUUGCAAGCACAUUUGUUCCUAAUAACACUCAGAUUUCGAGCGCUUUGAUCAGUGCUGCUUCAGUCGUCACCGGCUUUGACAUUGAAGGCAGUUCCAUCAACGUGAACGGCACACCAUCAAGUGGAGUAAGCCACAAGAUCAGUUUCAUUACCGCAUCCUGCCUGGUACUGUUGUCCUGGAUUUUCUCAAGCCAGCAAUAGCUUCAGUGCUGAAUUCCAUUUCAUUGCUAUCAGAACAUGAAUGCCAUCACUGGUAUGAAAAGGGACUUUGUUGUUAAUAGUCCAAGAUUCAAUAUUGGUUUUGGUCUUUGGUCUUGUAUGGCUUCGGAUGACCUUACAAUCAAAUGUACCUUUCCCUGACCGGAACUAUUAAUGACUAUGAAUUAGGUUUGUCUGUCGAACACUUUAAGCACCCGGUCCACUGAAUUGUGAUAAAAUAAAAAGCUCAACCAAAUAACAGUAUUUAUUAAGCCCUGGGAUGUCAAUUAUUAUUUGCAAUAUUUUACUAUUUAUGUCAAAUGUAUAUAUAUAGUACAUGCAUUUUGGUUCUCUGGGCACUGUACUAUAAAAAUAUUUAACUUUGUGUAAAAAUCACUCUCACCAUUGCUUGAAUGUAGUUUCCAAAAGCAUGUAAAAUUCAUGUUUAGGUUUCACUUGCUAACCUAGCUGCAUGACAUACUAGCAUAACAUAGCAGCACGAACAUAGCAACAUAACAUAGGAUAACAACACAACAUGGUCAUUGUAUAAAUUAUAUAUAUGUAUAAACAACGCUUUGUCAAUUUUUUAUUUAUGCA